UUGGCACCAAUCAAGACCAGUUGUUUGCAGUAGCUGCUGGUUUUAAAGGAAGCCAACAUGAACUCCUUCCUGUGGUCUGUUGAUUUCCCUCCACUUGCAAAAGGGAUAAUCAAUUCAGUUGGAAGGGACAAAU